AUGAACGCUGGCGGCGUGCCUAAUACAUGCAAGUCGCGCGAACAGACGAGGAGCUUGCUCCUCUGACGUUAGCGGCGGACGGGUGAGUAACACGUGGAUAACCUACCUAUAAGACUGGGAUAACUUCGGGAAACCGGAGCUAAUACCGGAUAAUAUAUUGAACCGCAUGGUUCAAUAGUGAAAGACGGUUUUGCUGUCACUUAUAGAUGGAUCCGCGCCGCAUUAGCUAGUUGGUAAGGUAACGGCUUACCAAGGCAACGAUGCGUAGCCGACCUGAGAGGGUGAUCGGCCACGCUGGAACUGAGACACGGUCCAGACUCCUACGGGAGGCAGCAGUAGGGAAUCUUCCGCAAUGGGCGAAAGCCUGACGGAGCAACGCCGCGUGAGUGAUGAAGGUCUUCGGAUCGUAAAACUCUGUUAUUAGGGAAGAACAAAUGUGUAAGUAACUAUGCACGUCUUGACGGUACCUAAUCAGAAAGCCACGGCUAACUACGUG
rnacentral:rRNA from 1 species